rnacentral:rRNA from 1 species
UGAGUACGAGCUGCUACGGCAGCGAAGUGGGUGAUGUCAAGCUUCCAAGAAAAGCCCUAUACCCGUUAAGGCAUGACGGCCUGUACCCGAAACCGACACAGGUGGGGUGGUAGAGAAUACCUAGGGGCGCGAGAUAACUCUCUCUAAGGAACUCGGCAAAAUGGCCCCGUAACUUCGGGAGAAGGGGUGCCACCGCAAGGUGGUCGCAGUGAAGAGGCCCAGGCGACUGUUUACCAAAAACACAGGUCUCCGCUAAGUCGCAAGACGAUGUAUGGGGGCUGACGCCUGCCCAGUGCCGGAAGGUUAAGGAAGCUGGUCAGCGCAAGCGAAGCUAGCGACUGAAGCCCCGGUGAACGGCGGCCGUAACUAUAACGGUCCUAAGGUAGCGAAAUUCCUUGUCGGGUAAGUUCCGACCCGCACGAAAGGCGUAACGAUCUGGGCGCUGUCUCGGAGAGAGGCUCGGCGAAAUUGAAUUGUCUGUGAAGAUGCGGACUACGUGCACCCGGACAGAAAGACCCUAUGAAGCUUUACUGUAGCUUGGUAUUGUGCCCGGGCUCUGAAUGCGCAGGAUAGGUGGGAGGCUUUGAUCCAUUGCUUGUGGGUAAUGGUGAGCCACUGGUGAGAUACCACUCUUUCAGAGCUAGGGUUCUAACGGUCACCCGUUAUCCGGGGACCGGACAGUAUCAGGUGGGCAGUUUGACUGGGGCGGUCGCCUCCUAAAAGGUAACGGAGGCGCGCAAAGGUCCCUCAGGCUGGUUGGAAAUCAGCCGACGAGUGUAAAGGCAGAAGGGAGCUUGACUGUGAGACCUACAAGUCGAACAGGGACGAAAGUCGGCCUUAGUGAUCCGACGGUUCUGAGUGGAAGGGCCGUCGCUCAACGGAUAAAAGUUGCUCUAGGAUAACAGGCUGAUCUCCCCCAAGAGUUCACAUCGACGGGGAGGUUUGGCACCUCGAUGUCGGCUCAUCGCAACCUGGGGCUGAAGUCGGUCCCAAGGGUUGGGCUGUUCGCCCAUUAAAGCGGUACGCGAGCUGGGUUCAGAACGUCGUGAGACAGUUCGGUCCAUAUCCGGUGCACGCGCAGGAACAUUGAGAGGAUUUCUCCCUAGUACGAGAGGACCGGGAGGAACGCACCUCUGGUGUACCAGUUAUCGUGCCAACGGUAAACGCUGGGUAGCCAUGUGCGGAGCGGAUAACCGCUGAAAGCAUCUAAGUGGGAAGCCCACCUCAAGAUGAGUGUUCCCAUGGCAUAAGCCAGUAAGGUCACGGGAAGAACACCCGUUGAUAGGCUCUACGUGGAAGCGUGGCAACACGUGAAGCGGAGGAGUACUAAUAGACCGAGGGCUU